rnacentral:rRNA from 1 species
CUUUACUAUAGCCUGGAAUUGUGUUCGGGCUUCGCUUACGCAGGAUAGGUGGGAGGCUAUGAAGUUCUGCUUGUGGGCAGAAUCGAGCCAACGGUGAGAUACCACUUUAGCGAGGCUAGAAUUCUAACCCCUACCCGUUAUCCGGGAGGGAGACAGUUUCAGGGGGGGUAGUUUGACUGGGGCGGUCACCUCCUAAAAGGUAACGGAGGCGCGCAAAGGUUCCCUCAGGCUGGUUGGAAAUCAGCCAGAGAGUGCAAAGGCAUAAGGGAGCUUGACUGCAAGACCUACAGGUCGAGCAGGGUGGAAACACGUUCUUAGUGAUCCGACGGUGCCGCAUGGAAGGGCCGUCGCUCAACGGAUAAAAGUUA